AGCUCCAAUAGCGUAUACUAAAGUUGUUGCAGUUAAAAAGCUCGUAGUUGAAUUUCUGGUCUUGGACGGCGGUCUACCACAAUUGUGGUACGUACCAACUGUCCGAGUCCAUCCUCGGGGAAAACAUGCCUGUGAUUUAGUUCAUGGGUAUGGGAUCCUCGUCAUUUACUGUGAGCAAAAUAGAGUGUUCAAAGCAGGCUUAUGCCGUUGAAUACAUUAGCAUGGAAUAAUAAGAUAGGACCUUGGUCUAUUUUGUUGGUUUGUACUCCAAGGUAAUGAUUAAUAGGGAUAGUUGGGGGUAUUCGUAUUCAAUUGUCAGAGGUGAAAUUCUUGGAUUUAUGGAAGACGAACUACUGCGAAAGCAUUUACCAAGGAUGUUUUCA
rnacentral:rRNA from 1 species